GGAAAGUUGAAGACGACGACGUUGAUAGGCCGGGUGUGUAAGCGCAGCGAUGCGUUGAGCUAACCGGUACUAAUGAACCGUGAGGCUUAACCUUACAACGCCGAAG
rnacentral:rRNA from 1 species